GAAGUUCUUAGAUAGUUUUAAAGGGUUAGGGAUGUGACAAUGUGCCUCAACACACAUAGAUUUCAUAUGUCAUGGCGAGAUAGGGCCAUCACCUGGGAAACCAAUCAUGGGGAAAUCAGUUUUUAGGGGCAACAAUGCUUGAUACAAUCAGAGGCUGAAGUCUUGGUGGAAGUUCUAAUCGGCGACUAUAAUGCUAUCAUGUGUUCGAG
rnacentral:lncRNA from 1 species